GCCGGGUGCGGUGGCGCAUGCCUGUAAUCCCAGCUACUCGGGAGGCUGAGGUGAGAGGAUCCCUUGAGCCCGGAGGUUCUGGGCUGUAGUUCGCUAUGCUGAUCGGGUGUCUGCACUAAGUUUGGCAUCAAUAUGGUGACCUCCCAGGAGCUGGGGACCACCAGGUUGCCCAAGGAGGGGUGAACCAGCCCAGGAUGGAAAUGGAGCAGGUCAAAACUCCUGUGCUGAUCAGUAGUGGGAUCACGCCUGUGAAUAGCUGCUGCACUCCAGCCUGGGCAACAUAGCAAGACCCUGUCUCU
rnacentral:SRP_RNA from 1 species